AACCUGGUUGAUCCUGCCAGUAGUCAUAUGCUUGUCUCAAAGAUUAAGCCAUGCAUGUCUAAGUAUAAAUCUUUAUACGGUGAAACUGCAGACGGCUCAUUACAACAGUGAUAAACUAAUAGAGUUUCGGGUCUAACCUACCUGGAUAUCCGCAGUAAAUCGGGGCUAAUACAUACAAACGAGGGGUGACUGUUUACGGAAGCUCCGCGAUUAUUAGAUUAACCAAUGCCCGCAAGGGUUUUGUGGUGAAACCGAAUAAUAUUGCAGAUCGAAGCCUAGCUUCGACAAUUCUAUUGUGUCACUGCCCUAUCAACUUUCGAUGGUACGGUAUUGGCCUACCAUGGUUUUUACGGGUAACGGAGAAUUAGGGUUCGAUUCCGGAGAGGGCGCCUGAGAAAUGGCGACCACUUCUAUGGAAGGCAGCAGGCGCGCAAAUUACUCAAUCCCAAUACGGGGAAGUAGUGACAAUAAAUAUUGAUGCCUAUUCGUUUUUCGAAAGGUAAUUGAAAUGAGUACAAAUUAAAUCUCUUAACUAAUACAAUUGGAGGGCAAGUCUGGUGCCAGCAGCCGCGGUAAUUCCAGCUCCAAUAGCAUAUACUAAAGUUGUUGCGGUUAAAAAGCUCGUAGUUGAAAGUAAAUUUACAUUGGGUUAAAGUCCACGUCCGCUUUGGUGGUCGCUGGUCUCCAUUGUAUCUUUUUAAACUUCACCCUUAAGGCCUCUACUUUGUAGCGGGUUCUUUUUAGGGUACUUCACUGUGAGAAAAUUGUGGUGUUCAAAGCGGGCGUCUCGCCUGAUCUUUUGCAGCAUGGUAUGAUGGAACAAGACAUUUUGUGUAAUUGGUUGCAUUUAAAGUGUAAUGAUUAAUAGGGGUGGAUGGGGGUGUUCAUAUUGGUGGGCGAGAGGUGAAAUUCGCUGACCCUAUCAAGAUGAACUUCUGCGAAAGCAUUCACCAAAUACUCCCCCAUUAAUCAAGAACGAAAGUUUGGGGAUCAAAGACGAUCAGAUACCGUCGUAGUCCAAACUAUAAACUAUGUCGACCAGGGAUCGGUUACUAUUUUUUAAAAAUUUGAUCGGCACCUUGUGAGAAAUCAUGAGUGUUUAGAUUCUGGGGGGAGUAUGGUCGCAAGUCUGAAACUUAAAGGAAUUGACGGAAGGGCACACAAUGGAGUGGAGCCUGCGGCUUAAUUUGACUCAACUCGGGAAAACUUACCAAGCUAAGAUAUAGUAAGGAUUGACAGACUAAAAGAUUUUUCAUGAUUCUAUAAGUGGUGGUGCAUGGUCGUUCUUAGUUGGUGGAGCAAUCUGUCUGGUCAAUUCCGAUAACGGACGAGAUCUCGACCUGCUAACUAGUAGUACCUAUUAAUUCGAUAUGAAUGAAAGCUCAUUCGGAGUAAGUUAGUCAUCGCAAGGUGUCUGACACUUCGGUGGGUCGGUAAUUUGAUUUGAUAGGUACGAUAUAUAAACUUCUUAGAGGGACUACCUGUGGCAAACAGGGGGAAGUUCGAGGCAAUAACAGGUCUGUGAUGCCCUUAGAUACCUUGGGCCGCACGCGCGCUACAAUGUAAUAGGCAAAAAGCUAUCCUGGUCCGGAAGGAUUGGGUAAUCAUAUGAAUUUAUUACGUAACUGGGCUUGAUCUUUGUAAUUAUUGAUCAUCAACGAGGAAUUCCUUGUAAGCGCAAAUCAUUACUUUGUGCUGAAUAUGUCCCUGCCCUUUGUACACACCGCCCGUCGCUCCUACCGAUCGAAUGAUACGGUAAAGCCAACGGAUAAGGCUCUGCAGCAAUGCGUGAGUUUCAAAAGUUGUUUAAAUCUCAUUGUUUAGAGGAAGGAGAAGUCGUAACAAGGUAUCCGUAGGUGAACCUGCAGAAGGAUCAA
rnacentral:rRNA from 1 species